rnacentral:rRNA from 1 species
CGAUGAACCUCCUUCGGGAGGGGAUUAGUGGCGAACGGGUGAGUAACACGUGGGCAAUCUGCCCUGCACUCCGGGACAAGCCCUGGAAACGGGGUCUAAUACCGGAUACGACUCUCGCGGGCAUCCGCGAGGGUGGAAAGCUCCGGCGGUGCAGGAUGAGCCCGCGGCCUAUCAGCUGGUUGGUGGGGUAACGGCCCACCAAGGCGACGACGGGUAGCCGGCCUGAGAGGGCGACCGGCCACACUGGGACUGAGACACGGCCCAGACUCCUACGGGAGGCAGCAGUGGGGAAUAUUGCACAAUGGGCGCAAGCCUGAUGCAGCGACGCCGCGUGAGGGAUGACGGCCUUCGGGUUGUAAACCUCUUUCAGCAGGGAAGAAGCGCAAGUGACGGUACCUGCAGAAGAAGCGCCGGCUAACUACGUGCCAGCAGCCGCGGUAAUACGUAGGGCGCGAGCGUUGUCCGGAAUUAUUGGGCGUAAAGAGCUCGUAGGCGGCCUGUCACGUCGGGUGUGAAAGCCCGGGGCUUAACCCCGGGUCUGCAUUCGAUACGGGCAGGCUGGAGUUCGGCAGGGGAGAUCGGAAUUCCUGGUGUAGCGGUGAAAUGCGCAGAUAUCAGGAGGAACACCGGUGGCGAAGGCGGAUCUCUGGGCCGAUACUGACGCUGAGGAGCGAAAGCGUGGGGAGCGAACAGGAUUAGAUACCCUGGUAGUCCACGCCGUAAACGUUGGGCACUAGGUGUGGGAUCCAUUCCACGGGUUCCGUGCCGCAGCUAACGCAUUAAGUGCCCCGCC